CCCCAGCCGCAUUUUGAGCAGAGACACCUAUCGCUUUCUGUCCAAAUUAGAUUUUCCUCUCUACUAUUUAGGUAGAUUAGUGUGAAUAAAUAAAAUUUUCCUUUGAUUUUGGGUAGAUCUGAGCUAUAAAGAAGAAUUUUUAUUCUUGAUCUACUUUAUUUUUUGUUGUUAUUAUUCUUCUUAGUUCCUUUUUGUUGUUUGCGUGCAGGUGGAUUUUAAAGUUUUCUUGAAGACAUGUUUUCUGCAUGCACUGGGAGAGGGUGGAUGUUUCGGUUUGGAUGUCCUCCCUUUCAACUGGCUUCACCCUUGACGCUGUUGGAG
rnacentral:lncRNA from 1 species